rnacentral:lncRNA from 1 species
AUGUUUUGGACAUUUUCGAAGCUGCUGCUGUCGUUGAUUGCAGGAGAACAACACGACGACACACCGCACACAGCACAGGCUAGCGGCGAGUACGGUGGUACGGCCACCGCGUGCACAUCCAUCUACAAGCUCGAGCUCCCCUCGCCGGCCCGUUGUCACGAUGAUGCCGACGCCGCCGUCGCCGCCAUCGAGCCGCGGGAGGCCAUGAACGUGGAUUCGAAGGCGUCCUACCUCAUCCAGAUCAAGAACCCCGAGCAGCCGCCAUCCUCCGAUGGUCGUGGC